CUUCAUUUAAAAUCUAUGGAAAGUCUUCAAUCUUAUAUCUCUCUUAGAGUAUGCAUCUUCUCAAACAAUUUUAUUACAGAUAUUCGUCCACUUCAGAGUUGUAUGAAAUUAAUCAAACUUGAUCUCCAUGGAAAUCAGAUUCCACCUGAGUGAGAUCACAUGGUAUUUGUUUUUCUCUCUGACUUAUUUCAUUUAGGGUAAUGCCCUGAAAGUACACCAUGUUGUUUCAAAUGGCAUGAUUUUAUUCUUUUUUUUGUGAAUCAAUAAUAUUACACUGGAUGUAUAUAUCACAUUUUCUUUAUUUACUCUUCCAUAGACAGCAGCAGACAGACAUUUUGGUUGCUUUCAUGUCUUGGCUAUUAUAAUUAAUGCUGCAGUGAACAUGGGAGUGUGUGUGUCUAUUUGAGCUAGUAUUUUCUCUUCCUUGUAAUAAGUUUCCAGAAAUAUAAUUGCUGGGUCAUAUGGAAGCUUUACUUUGAAUUUUUUGAGGAACCCCUGCUGUUUACCUAGUGACUACACCAAUUUACAAUCCUCCAAACACUGCACAGGGUUCCCUGUUCUCCACAUCCUUGCCAACACUUUAUUUUUUGUCUUUUUGAUAAUAGCUAUUCUCACAGGCAUGAGAAUGGUCCCGUGGUUUCAAUAUGCAUUUCCCUGAUGAUUGGUGUUGCUGAGUAUCUUUUGAUGUACCUGCUGGCCACCGCUAUAUCUUAUUUGGAAAAAGCAUUGCCUUAGAUCCUUUGCCUAUUUUUUAGUUGGAUUUUUUUUUCCUAUUCUUGUAUGAGUUCUUUAUAGAGUUUUGAUGUUAGACUCAUCUCAGAUGUGAUUUGCAAAUAUUUUCCCCCAUUCAGUAGGUUCCCUUUUCUUUUUAUUGAUGGUUUCCUUUAUGUGCAGAAGCUUUUUAGUUUGAGUUCAUUUCACUGUAUUCAGUUUUGAGUUUUUUGCCUUUACUUUUGGUGUCAAAUUGAAAAAAACUAUCACCAAGACCCAUAACAAGGUGCUUACCACCAGUGUUUUCUUCUAGGAAUUUUAUGGUUUCAGAUUGUGCCUUCAAAUCUUUAAUUCAUGUUGAGUUUACUUUUGUGUAUAGCAUAAGAUAGUGGUCAAAUUUCAUUCUUUCACAUGUGCUUGUCCCAUUUUUCCAACACAAUUUAUUGAAGAAACUGCUCUUUUCCUAGUGUAUGCUCUUGACUCCUUUUUUGUAAAUAAAUUGAUCUUUACUGUAAAUCCAUUUUGUAAAUCAGUGUGUGGGUUUAUUCAUGGGAUGUGUUUCUGUUCCAUUGACCUGUUUUUUUUAAAUGCCAGUACCAGUCUGUUUUUUUUUUUUUUUUUUUUUACUGUAGCUUUAUAUUGUACUUUGAAUUCAGGAAGUGUGAAGGCGCCAAAUUCAUUCUUUCUCAAGGUUUUUGCCUAUUUGAGUGUUUUUUAGUUUCAUACAAAUAUUAGGAUUAUUUGUUCUAUUUAUGUUAAAAGUGCCACUGGAAUUUUGGCAUGGCUUUUGUUGAAUCUGUAGGUUGCUUUGGGUAGUAUAAAUGUUAUAACAGCAUUAAUUCUUACAGCCCACAAGGACAGAAUAUCUUUCAGUUUAUUUGUAUUCUUCAAUUACUUUUCAAUAUGUCUUAUAAUUUUCAGUGUAUAUGCAUAUCUUUCACCUCAUUGGUUAAAUUUAUUUCUAAGUAUUUUUACUAUUUUGAUGUAAUUGUGAAUGAGAUUAUUUUAUUAAUUUCCCUUUCUAAUAUUUAAUAGCUCAGGCAUAGAAAGCAUAACUUUGUGUAUUGAUUUUGUAUUCUGAAAUGUUAAUUGAUUUUGUUUAUUCUGAGGGUUAUUUUCUGUAGUAUUUAGGGUUUUCUGUAUACAGGCAUGCUGUAUUUUAGAGGGUAUCACUUUAUUACACUUUGCAAGUACUACAUUUUUUACAAAUUUAAGAUUUGUGGAAAUCCUACAUUAUCAGAUGAUGAUUAGCAAUUUCUAGCAAUAAAGUAUUUUUUACAUCUAGACAUAAUGUUAUUGCACACUUAAUAGACUAAUAUAGUGUAAACAAUUUUAAUAUGCAAUGGGAAACCAAAAAAAAAGCCCUUCUUUAUUGCAAUGUUUGCUAUAUUGCAGUAGUCUGAAACCAAUUGCACAAUAUCUCUGAGGUGUGAAUGUAGGUCGUUUAAUUCACAAAAAGUGAUAAUUUUACUUUUUCCUCUCCAAUUAGGAUGCCUUUGUUUCUUCUUCUUGCCUAAUUGCUUUGACUAGGACUUCUAGGUCCCAGUGCCAUGUUGAAUGAAAAUGCAAAACUGGGCAUCUUUGUCUUAUUCUUGCUGUUAGAGGGAAAGAUUUUAUCUUUUUACCAUUGAGAAUGAUGUUAGUUGUAAGCUUGUCAUAUAUGGCCUUUACUAUGUGGAGGUACAUUCCUUCUAUACUCUUUAUUGAGAGUUUUAACUAUAACUGGAUGUUGAAUUUUGGCAAAUACCUUUCUUGUAUCUGUUGAGAUGACUAUAUGAUUUUUUAUUCUUCAUUUUUGUUAAUGUGGAGUAUCACACUGAUUGAUUUGACCCCUUAAGUUAUCAUGUAAGGAAAAUAUUUUUGAAAAGAUUAAAAAGUCUACUUAUUACAAAGGAAUUUUUAUUGAAUGGAUUAUAUGUUUGUUUAUUUAAUUACACUAGUAAUUACAGAUACCUAAUGUAUUUUAGUUUGCCCCAGUCAUCCUUUGGAUAAUUAGAAAUUGCAUUUUUGUUUACUAAUGAGAAACUUGUUAUUUGAAUUGAAUAUUAUAUUA